rnacentral:lncRNA from 1 species
CCGGUCUCUGCGGCGCGGUGUCGUAACGCUCCGCAUUCCUGGGAGCCUGCGCUCCCGGUUCAUGGAAUUGUGCUCCCGGCCCCGGGCGAAAACAGCAGCGACAACAACAAAAAGCAGGCGAGCCUUUGGCCGGGUUUUGGGAGGCUCCAGAAAUGAGUUCCAGAAGAAAGUGUUCCGGGCAGGAGUUCAGGGCAUGGACAGCGGGAGGAGGCAGCGGGAAAAGCUGGAUAAUCCUGGCCUUGCGUCACCUCCCGCGGCCCCACGUGCACAGGGACCGCAUUUCCUGUUUUCCAAGGUCACCAGUGUCCCAAAAAUGUCCCUCUGGCUGAACCAUGGAGCCAAUUCCUUCCGGAAGCACAAAAAAACACCUUCGGGAUACCUCAGAAAUCCACAAAAUCCAGCUGUGAGGAAUAGUUGGAGCCAACAACGCCAAUGA